ncrna:unclassified sequences skipping-rope RNA
UGAAAGCAGAGGACGGAACAGGCAGCCGUCACGCCCUAGUGGUCUUAAAAGAGAUGUGGGAGGGUCACCCCACCUAUUUCA